AUUGAACGCUGGCGGCAUGCUUUACACAUGCAAGUCGAACGGUGAAGCAGGAGCUUGCUCCUGUGGAUCAGUGGCGAACGGGUGAGUAACACGUGAGCAAUCUGCCCUGGACUCUGGGAUAAGCGUUGGAAACGACGUCUAAUACCGGAUACGAGGCGUGGGGGCAUCCCCAACGCCUGGAAAGAACUUCGGUCCAGGAUGAGCUCGCGGCCUAUCAGGUAGUUGGUGAGGUAACGGCUCACCAAGCCUACGACGGGUAGCCGGCCUGAGAGGGUGACCGGCCACACUGGGACUGAGACACGGCCCAGACUCCUACGGGAGGCAGCAGUGGGGAAUAUUGCACAAUGGGCGCAAGCCUGAUGCAGCAACGCCGCGUGAGGGACGACGGCCUUCGGGUUGUAAACCUCUUUUAGCAGGGAAGAAGCGAAAGUGACGGUACCUGCAGAAAAAGCACCGGCUAACUACGUGCCAGCAGCCGCGGUAAAAC
rnacentral:rRNA from 1 species